rnacentral:lncRNA from 1 species
GCAGCUGGCUGUGGGGGACUGAUGCAUACUGUUGAGGCUGAUCUUACUCUGUCUCCUCUCUAUAAUCAAAAUGUGUCUCUGGAAGCUACUUCCCACCAUCCCUUGGCCAUUGGCACCUGGGCUUCUCACCUGUUCUGCUCUCCGCUGUGACUUUAUUGCUGAGAUCUCCACUGUGAGUUACCACCCACAGCACGUACUUCCUUCCAGGAACAAGGCCUUGAAACCGCCACUCCGUCAGGUCCUUGUCUUUCCAGUUUUCCUUCUUUGUGCCAUUGGGAUUAUAGAGAAUCAGCUCAUAAAAGUCAAAGUCCCCAGAGGCUGGACUCCAGUUGAACCAAAGGCUGUCUGUCGUGUUCCGAUUGGACCCCCUGAGAUGACUCACAGAGGCUGGGACUUAAACAGAAGAAAAAUUGUUACUGAGAACAAAACAGAAACACAGGCAUUUUGGCCCACAGAUCUCUAUUAAGAGAAAAAUACAAAGAAUAAAUGAGUAAGGCUCUUGAAACCAUUGAAUUGUACAAACUUUGGUGGUUUUAAAUCUGGAUUUGUGAAUAGCUGAGCCCGUUCACUGUCCCAUUUUGGAGAACCAUGAGGCAUUCUACAAUCUAGCCCUUCUCCAGGUGGAUGCUUACCUGUCCGCCCAACCACAUUUAUCUGAUUCUUCAGGGACCCGCUGACUGAGGCAAUCAUGAUCUGGUACUGCUCCCCGGCCUCCAGUCUGUGGAACGUGUGCUCAAAGACGUGCUUGGGAAUAGUCUGAGAGUCAACCUUUUGACUGUGCCUGAAUGCCGACACCGUGUAGGAA